ensembl:lncRNA
GAGAGAGAUAAGCUGCUGCUAAUGGCCGGGAAACGGUCUUUUUGUGUGGACUUAUCUCGAGGAAGAUAGCCAUCUCAGGAGGUAUGCACAUGACUCUUGCUCAAGCACCUAGGGAUGUCACGUAGGCAGGAGAAAAUGGAGGAUAAAAGAGGGUCCAACAACCACGGCGAUGUGGAGGCUGAUCUCUCACCACGACACACUCGAGGGGUUCUCUGCCAUCUGAUCCUUCACCACAACAGAGAGGCUGAUCUCUCACCACGACUCGAGCUUUCUGCCUUCAGAUCCUUCUCUAAGGACCGUUUGCUGACGGACUUCCCUGGGCCUGCUACCUGAGACCUGCUGCUUCCUCCCAGACUUACUCUGCGGCUUCUUCCUGGACCCACGCGGUACCUGCACCCUCUCGUUGCCCAAGACCGGCCUCGCUGCUCCUGCCCUUCGGCCUCGGACCGUCGGAACGUCGUGCAACGGGACUGCUGCUGGAUCCUGGUGUGAAAUAGCUACCCUCAGCUGAAAUACACUUAAGAUCUCCUCCUGAUCUGAGUCACAAGAUUGUUGUGACAGUUCUUCAGAGAGUUGAAGUUGGAAGGGAACUCUGGGGGUCAUCUAGCUCAACUGCCCUACUCCAGCAGAUUGCCCAGGACCAGAACGUGUCUCCUUUUGAAGAUCUGCAAGGAAGGAGAUUCCAUGACCGCUCUGGGCAAGUUCUUUCAGUGCUUCAUCACUUUCAGAAAGGAAAACAACGUUGUUAACACGCUGAUAUUUCCAGUUGUUGCUGAGCAGUGCUGUACAGAGACAAGGAUGUUCCAGUUUUCUCAGCUUCUGCCAGCAAGAAGGCUCAGGGAGCACAAGGACCUGUGAGGGGACAGAAAUAGGACAGCUGAUCUAAACUGGCAAAAGAGAUGUUCCAUACCCUAAGAUAGCACAUGGAAUGAAAGCUGGAAAAAAGGGGAGAGUUUUUGGGGUGGCCUUCCACUGCUCAGAAACUGGCUGGGCAUACAUCAGAAGGUGUGUGUUCAUCCUUUCAGCAUCCCUCUGAGAGCUAAGGAUUUAGUCUUCUUCAACCAGAAUACAAGUCAGAGAGGCUGUGAAAAUUUGAGGUCUUUGUUGCAAGGGUAUCUAUGGUAUGAGUCUUUUCCUCUGCAGUGUUGAGUGUACAUGGAGUUGUUUUGAUUCAAGCCCUGCAUGAAGACUGCUAUUUUCUUGCAGUCUGCUUCCUGGUACCCUGCUGAAGUUUCAAAGUUGGACAUUGGCCUCCCCCAGCCUCAGCUGGUAUCAGUUGUGACAAAGUCGAUGCAGUGACUCUAUGAUUUUAUCACAAUGGUUAUACAUGUAUAUUCAUAUAUCUACAUGGAUAAAAUGUGUGAGGUAAUAAGCACUUGAACACUGGGAAAAUGUAGCAAACAAAAACCAGAAGAGGUCAAGGUGAGUUCAGAAGGUCCUCAACCUGUCAGGUCAGCGCAAAGAUUGGUCACUUAAUAAUACAAAAGGUUACUGAGCAACAGAGAAAAGCUAUGAAAUUCAAACAAUUUUAAAGGGUUUGUUUGUUUGUUUGUUUAUUUGUUUGUUUAUUUAUUUACCUGCCAAAUCCCAAAUGGAAAAAGAAGAAUUAAAAAUUAUGUUAUAUAUCUAAUUAAUAGGACAUGUCUACAGAUUCAUUCUUAAGAUAUGUUAGACAGUGCAAAAGUGAUUAAUUAAAAUAGCUGUGUUUGAGACGACAUAGACAACAGGCAAUUAAUAGCAAUGUGAAUUAAAGGCAUUGGAUUACUAUGGGGAUUAGGUUUUGUAUGUGAACAAUUAUUCAAUGCUGCUUAAUGAAAAAAAAAAGCUGAUGUGAAGAUAUCAUGAAACUAAAUAUUGUGUAAUAAGUGAAGUUAAAUCAAAUGCUUAACAUCGUUUUGUAUGAGAAAGUUUCCAUGCUUUUACAUGAAAACUGAAAAAGGAGGGAAGGAAGGAAGGGAGGAAGAAAGGGAGAAAGGGAGAGAGGGAGGGCGGAAGGGAGGAAGGAAGGAAGGAAGAUGAGAAUUUUUUGUUUGAAGUGGGAAGUUAUGGUCACAUUGGGUAGAUGGGUCGUGAGUGAGAAGGCUUUGGCAUCAGAAAUGUUCCAGUUGUGUCCCCUAACAGCUCCCUCAAAGGGCACAGCUGAGCAACAUCAGGCUGAAGACGGAGAAAGAGGAGGAGGUACACUGGAGGAGAGAUUUCCCUGUAGCCAAUGGAAGGUACUACAAUAGGUAUUCCCUGCAGCUCAGGAGAGCCCAUAGAAGAGCAGGUUUACCCUCCAGGGCUGCAGCCUGUGGGAAGGACCCACAAUGGAGCAGGGGAGAAGCGUGAAGAAGGAAUGGCAAGGGGGAAUUGUUGUAGACUUACCACAAUUGCCAUUCCCCAUCCCCUUGUGCUGCUCAGAGCAGACAGAGAGGUAGAGCAGCCAGAAAUGAAGGAUUGAAGUUGAGCCUGGGAAAUACUGAGAGAUGUGGAAGAAAUAUGUUGUUUUGUCAUUUUUUUCCCUCACUAACCAAAACUAUUUUAACAGUAAAUAAUUUUUCCCCAAGUCAAGUCUGUUUUGCCUGUGAUGGUAAUUGCUAUAGUCUCCCUGUCCUUAUCUUCACCCACUAGUUUUUUAAUUAUAUUUUCUUCCCUGUCCUGUUGAGGAGGAAGAGUGUCAAAGUGUCUGGAUGGAGAUCUAGCAGCAAAAGUUAACUCACCGCAAUGAUCUAAAUCCAUAUUGGAUAAAAAAUGGACUUAACUAUCAAUAAAACAAGGUAGGAGGAGGCCCAGGUUCUGAUAGUGACUAAAACUGAACUGACAAAUAGUGUGAAAUCAGUUUAUCACUCUUUUCCUGAACUAUAUAAUCAAAUGUUAUUGUGUAUUCAUCAAAUUUAAUCAAAGAAAGUCUUCAUAUACUAAGUGUGAAAAUUAAGAAUGGGCUGCGUGUCUCUUUCAAAUAAAUUAGGCUGUUCUUGAUUUACAGUAG